GAGGGUAUAGCUCAAGUAGUAGAGCGCAUGUUUAGCAUGCAUAAGGUCCUGGGUUCAAUCCCCAGUACCGCCU
rfam:Camelus ferus unplaced genomic scaffold scaffold654, whole genome shotgun sequence.